AGUGAACGCUGGCGGUAGGCCUAACACAUGCAAGUCGAACGGCAGCACAGUAAGAGCUUGCUCUUACGGGUGGCGAGUGGCGGACGAGUGAGGAAUACAUCGGAAUCUACUUUUUCGUGGGGGAUAACGUAGGGAAACUUACGCUAAUACCGCAUACGACCUACGGGUGAAAGCAGGGGAUCUUCGGACCUUGCGCGAUUGAAUGAGCCGAUGUCGGAUUAGCUAGUUGGCGGGGUAAAGGCCCACCAAGGCGACGAUCCGUAGCUGGUCUGAGAGGAUGAUCAGCCACACUGGAACUGAGACACGGUCCAGACUCCUACGGGAGGCAGCAGUGGGGAAUAUUGGACAAUGGGAGCAAGCCUGAUCCAGCCAUACCGCGUGGGUGAAGAAGGCCUUCGGGUUGUAAAGCCCUUUUGUUGGGAAAGAAAAGCAGCAGGUUAAUACCCCGCUGUUCUGACGGUACCCAAAGAAUAAGCACCGGCUAACUUCGUG
rnacentral:rRNA from 1 species